rnacentral:rRNA from 1 species
AGUGAACGCUGGCGGUAGGCCUAACACAUGCAAGUCGAACGGCAGCACAGUAAGAGCUUGCUCUUACGGGUGGCGAGUGGCGGACGGGUGAGGAAUACAUCGGAAUCUACUUUUUCGUGGGGGAUAACGUAGGGAAACUGACGCUAAUACCGCAUACGACCUACGGGUGAAAGCAGGGGAUCUUCGGACCUUGCGCGAUUGAAUGAGCCGAUGUCGGAUUAGCUAGUUGGCGGGGUAAAGGCCCACCAAGGCGACGAUCCGUAGCUGGUCUGAGAGGAUGAUCAGCCACACUGGAACUGAGACACGGUACAGACUCCUACGGGAGGCAGCAGUGGGGAAUAUUGGACCAUGGGCGCAAGCCUGAUCCGGCCAUACCGCGUGGGUCAAGAAGGCCUUCGGGUUGUAAAGCCCUUUUGUUGGGAAAGAAAAGCAGCAGGUUAAUCCCCCGCUGUUCUGACGGUACCCAAAGAAUAAGCACCGGCUAACUUCGUG